rnacentral:rRNA from 1 species
UACAGAGGUCCCGAGCGUUGUUCGGAUUCACUGGGCGUAAAGGGUGCGUAGGUGGUGAGGUAAGUCGGAUGUGAAAGCUCCAAGCUCAACUUGGAAAUGGCAUUGGAAACUACCUUGCUAGAGGGUUUGAGGGGGGACUGGAAUACUUGGUGUAGCAGUGAAAUGCGUAGAUAUCAAGUGGAACACCAGUGGCGAAGGCGAGUCUCUGGACAUUUCCUGACGCUGAGGCACGAAAGCCAGGGGAGCAAACGGG